AUGGCCGUCCCGAAGGUCAAGGUCCCACACAGUGGCCGUGGGGUCGGGCCCCGGGCCAGGUGCCUCGGGGCGACUGUGGGGCGGGUGAGGGUCAAGAGGCCGUCCCCAUCUGUGAAGACAGGGCACGGUCAGGGCAGGGCGGAGGGUCCCCUGGCCUCAGCCCCCGCUGGCCCCACGCGGCCGUCCCACCCUGGCUCGGGGCACGCAGCGGCGGCGGCUGGCCGGGGACCCGGGGCGGGACAUGAGAGCAGACGCUGCCGCCCGCCCGGGAGCCUGUCCAACGGGGGAAGGCAGGGCUCAGAGCCCCGCGACAUGUCCGUCAGGUUCCAUCAGGAGCAGAGCAGACCCGGGAUCCGCCUCCUGACGGGCAGCUGCGUGGGGCCGGCACACGCGGGGGCCGGGGUGGCCCCCCAGACGCCCCCGGGGCCCAGCCACUCGCCCCCGGGAGCCCGAAAGUUGUCAGCGUCCGCAUGGGGCUCCGUGGCGGAUCCGAUGUGGGGGAGCUGCCCCAGCCCGGGGAGGGGGGCGCCCAGGGCCGGGAGCCGCAGGGGGCAGGUGCUGGGGUCCGGGGCCCCCUCGCCCCCUCGUCCCGCGCCCCCGCCCCCGCCCAGGCCCACCCGCCGCGCGGCCCGAGCCGCAGCUCAACUUCUCACCUAUUUUGGCAGAAGCAGCCGGAGCGGCCGCGGCGCGCCCCGGGGAGGCGAGCGGCUGCGGCGGGGGCUCGGGGCCCGGGGCCGGGCUGCCAUGGCGGGGGGCGGCCGCCGGCGAGCCCGCCGAUCAACAGAUUGCGGGACCGCAGCCCGGCGCGGGCUCCGCAGCCCAGGGGAUGAGUCAGAGCCCGCGGCGGCAGACAUGCGAGGCGAUGCUCCGCGGGCGGCCUCCGGGGCUCGGGCGGGACCGCGGCCGCCUCUGCGCCUGCUUGGAGGGCGGGCGACAGCCGCCAGCCGGGGACGGGACCGGCCGCGAAGCAGGCGCAGUAACCAUGGGGACGGGGGAGGCGCCGGGCGGUGGCCGCUCCCGCUCCCCGCUCCCCGCGCCCGCAGUGGUUCUUCCCGCGCCGCCCGCCACACUGCGGAGCCGAUUUAA
rnacentral:lncRNA from 12 species